UAGGGAAUUUUCGUCAAUGGGCGCAAGCCUGAACGAGCAAUGCAGCGUGAACGAGGAAGGUCUUCGGAUCGUAAAGUUCUGUUGAAGGGGAAAAAGAGCGGAGAGAGGAAAUGGUCUCCGAUUGAUAUUACCCUUCGAGGAAGUCACGGCUAACUACGUGCC
rnacentral:rRNA from 1 species